rnacentral:lncRNA from 1 species
CCCCUGCUAAGCCGAACACUUUUCUUUGUAAGAGUUAUCUCCCUAUUCACUGUUUAUCAUCAGAGUGCAUCUCCUUCGUAACAAAAAAAGAUAGCGACAAAAUUCUUUUUACAAAUUGUUCGUUACAUCCUAAGGAAAAUUUGGCUUAUUUGGAUCGAAGCGAUUCGAUGAAAUUUUAUAGGAGUUAUCUACCUUUACAAAAUUAUUUUCUCAAUAUGUGUUAUUAACUAAUAAACCGUCAACCGUAUAACCCUGGAAUGUAUUUAUUUGAGAUCCCUAGGCCCUUUAUUAGAAAAUGGGGUCAAGGUCAAAGGUCAAGGUCAAGUUCUAAAUUCGGAAUUUUCCAUGUUUUUGCAUUUUCUCCAACCCUUGAAAAGGUACAUAUUAAAGAACAAGUGCAAAAUGAUUGCUAUAUAGUUAUGAAGAUAUGUUUACAUUUGGUCUGAUACAAUUAAAUAGCAUCUAAUAGGAGUUAGUGCCCCUGAAAUGUCUUGAUAUGAGGUUAUUUGAUUAUAACUUCAACUAAGUGCAUUUUAAUGGCAUUUGACCUUGUGCAAAAGGUUGGAUGACAAAUGACCUUGAAAAAUGACUACCGGAAGUGACCUUGAGAAAAACCGGAAGUAACCUUUUUUUGCAAUUU